rnacentral:rRNA from 1 species
AUUGAACGCUGGCGGCAGGCUUAACACAUGCAAGUCGAACGAUGAAGAUAUAGCUUGCUAUAUUGGAUUAGUGGCGGACGGGUGAGUAACACUUAGGAAUCUACCUUUUAGCGGGGGAUAGCUCGCGGAAACUCGAAUUAAUACCGCAUAAUUUCUACGGAAUAAAGAGGGCUUUUAGCUCUCACUAGAAGAUGAGCCUAAGUAAGAUUAGCUAGUUGGUGGGGUAAAAGCCUACCAAGGCGACGAUCUUUAGCUGGUCUGAGAGGAUGAUCAGCCACACUGGGACUGAGACACGGCCCAGACUCCUACGGGAGGCAGCAGUGGGGAAUAUUGGACAAUGGGGGCAACCCUGAUCCAGCCAUGCCGCGUGUGUGAAGAAGGCCUUUUGGUUGUAAAGCACUUUAAGCAGUGAAGAAGACCUAUUGGUUAAUACCCAAUAGCGAUGACAUUAACUGCAGAAUAAGCACCGGCUAACUCUGUGCCAGCAGCCGCGGUAAUACAGAGGGUGCAAGCGUUAAUCGGAAUUACUGGGCGUAAAGCGAGCGUAGGUGGUUAAAUAAGUCAGAUGUGAAAGCCCUGGGCUCAACCUAGGAACGGCAUCUGAAACUAUUUAACUAGAGUAGGCGAGAGGGAAGUAGAAUUUCAGGUGUAGCGGUGAAAUGCGUAGAGAUCUGAAGGAAUACCGAUGGCGAAGGCAGCUUCCUGGCAUCAUACUGACACUGAGGCUCGAAAGCGUGGGUAGCAAACAGG